GGAGAAGUGGAGGAGCUGGGAAUUUGUUCUGAUUACACCAGGAAGCCCUUGAGGCGUUUAGAGAAGAUUUUUUAAAAAGUCAUUCUGGUUUCCUGUGGAGAAGCACUGGCGGGGAGCCGAGCAGCACUGGAGAAGGCUGCAGUAGGGCUGGAGCUAUUUUUCCUGGCAGCAGACCCACAGAGAGGCUCAGAACUUGGAGUGUGAGAGGGAAGUUGGAAAGCAACCAUCUGUGGAAUAACUAUCUGAAGACUGAAAGUUUGAGAUCAAGGUGCCAGCACAUUCAAGUUCUGGUGAAAGGUUUCUUCC